rnacentral:miRNA from 1 species
CAAAUACAUAGAGUUUCAGGUAAACCAUGAAUGAUUUUUAGUGUAAGUACGUCUCAUACAAUAUUUGGGGCAUGCUUAUGCUAAACUAUUACUCAUGGUUUAUCAAAAUCCAAUUUAAUUGGACUUCCU